rnacentral:rRNA from 1 species
UAAUACAUGCAAGUCGAGCGAGCGGAACUAACAGAUUUACUUCGGUAAUGACGUUAGGAAAGCGAGCGGCGGAUGGGUGAGUAACACGUGGGGAACCUGCCCCAUAGUCUGGGAUACCACUUGGAAACAGGUGCUAAUACCGGAUAAGAAAGCAGAUCGCAUGAUCAGCUUUUAAAAGGCGGCGUAAGCUGUCGCUAUGGGAUGGCCCCGCGGUGCAUUAGCUAGUUGGUAAGGUAAAGGCUUACCAAGGCGAUGAUGCAUAGCCGAGUUGAGAGACUGAUCGGCCACAUUGGGACUGAGACACGGCCCAAACUCCUACGGGAGGCAGCAGUAGGGAAUCUUCCACAAUGGACGCAAGUCUGAUGGAGCAACGCCGCGUGAGUGAAGAAGGUUUUCGGAUCGUAAAGCUCUGUUGUUGGUGAAGAAGGAUAGAGGUAGUAACUGGCCUUUAUUUGACGGUAAUCAACCAGAAAGUCACGGCUAACUACGUGCCAGCAACCGGGGUAAUAC